UCUCCGUAGGUGAACCUGCGGAGGGAUCAUUACUGAGUGAGGGCCUUCGGGCUCGACCUCCAACCCUUUGUGAACGCAUCAUGUUGCUUCGGGGGCGACCCUGCCGCUUUCGCGGCAUUCCCCCCGGAGGUCAUCAAAACACUGCAUUCUUACGUCGGAGUAAAAAGUUAAUUUAAUAAAACUUUCAACAACGGAUCUCUUGGUUCUGGCAUCGAUGAAGAACGCAGC
rnacentral:misc_RNA from 1 species